AAUCAACGCUGGCGGCGUGCCUCAGACAUGCAAGUCGAACGAUUAAACUUUCCUUCGGGAAAGAUAUAAAGUGGCGUACGGGUGAGUAACACGUAAGUAAUCUACCUUCGAGUGGGGAAUAACGUUCGGAAACGAACGCUAAUACCGCAUAAUGCAGCGGCAUCAUAUGAUGACAGUUGUUAAAGCAUUUAUGCGCUUGAAGAGGAGCUUGCGGCAGAUUAGCUAGNGGUAAGGUAAUGGCUUACCAAGGCAACGAUCUGUAUCCGGUCUAAGAGGACGGUCGGACACACUGACACUGAAUAACGGGUCAGACUCCUACGGGAGGCAGCAGUCGGGAAUUUUGGGC
rnacentral:rRNA from 1 species